rnacentral:lncRNA from 1 species
CCAGGUGAAAAGGGCUUCCCGGUGAACCUCGGACGGGCCUGCGCACUGGGAGAAUGGGGUGGAGCCACGGAAGUUCGCGCCAUUUGCAGAGGGGAGGAGCCCAGCCUCUUGCGUUCCUGUGUGAUGGGGCCGGAGCCAGUAAACAGGCUUCCUUCUCGCUCUGCUGUAUAAGAAGAAGAAGUAGGAGAAACAAAAUAAGGAGGAGAAGAAGUAAAAUAAUUUGAGAAGGAAUAUGAAGGUUUUAUUGGUGGAACAGAGAAAGGAAAAGCAGUUAAGAAAACAAAGCUCAAGGCAGGUAAACAGAUACAGUAUUAGGAGAAAAUGUAGGAACUGAAACUAGCCUGAGAAGGAAGAUACUGAGUCAGAUGGAGCCAUUUAUAUAUGGAGAUCCAGGAUUUAUAAGAUCCAUACCAUUGAAUUUGAAGUAAGGAUACGAUCAAGCUGAUAAUCCAAAGUGCACUAACUUCUAAGGACGGAAAUGUUUCUCUGGGGCUAUCAUUGCACCCUCGCUCUCUGGAAUUUCGGUAUCAUGAGAACACAUAAGUAAGAGCCAAAAUUCAUAGGGAUUCUGCCUGGAGAGGAACACAGGGAUUCUGAAAUAACCAUGACAUACAUAAGUACCUCCAAUUAUUUGCCUCUCAGACAAAGCCAGCAGCUGUUGAAAUAUGGUAAGAAAAAUGGUUCAGGGGUUUUCCCCCAUGACUCAAGACAAGCAUUUACAUUAUUUACACACUCAAUGGGCUGAAAUCCUGGGCUUUCUGGGCAGAAGGAUCUACGAGCGGGAUCGUGGGUGAAACAUGAAGAUGAUGGUGGACAGGUGAGCUACGCAGUUCGUGGAAGAACCAGGGGUCACAUGGCCUAGAUGCUACCCUAGAUGAGAAAGAGUCCAAUGGUUAUCAACAAGUUCUGAAAGGCAAGGCCUAAGGUACUGAAAAUUAUAUUACUCAAAGCUGAAGGCAGCAAAUCUGUUCAUGUUUACACAGUUGGGAAAGUGGACUUGUGUU